GUAGGUGAACCUGCGGAAGGAUCAUUACUGAGUGGCUGUAUUCGUGCUUCUCUUCGGAGACGCGAAGCUACCCGACCUGAUGUCAUUUUAUCCGAGGGCGCGCCCGCUUGAGAAGACAGCGGUUUGACGUUGUGGUGUUACCCGGACGAGGCGCUUGUCUCGUAAGGGGAAGCUUCCGGGUCGGGCCGUGGCGCGUUCCUUGGCACAACUUUCCGCGGAAGUGGUAGGCGUUGACUUGCCCGCCGCGGGCCAUACUUUUCACAACUCUCGAAGAAAACCUGAAGUCUGAAUACCAAAACAAAAACGAAAAGCAAAACUUUCAACAACGGAUCUCUUGGCUCUGGCAACGAUGAAGAACGCAGCGAAACGCGAAAGGUAAUGCGAAUUGCAGAAUCAGUGAGUCAUCGAAUCUUUGAACGCACAUUGCGCCUCUCGGUAUUCCGGGAGGCACGCCUGUUCGAGCGCCAUUACAAACUCCAAGCGUGGCUUGAUGUUGGGCGAUGUCUUUUUGCGAGAGCGGGAGACACGCCUGGAACGCGUUGGCGCCGCCGCCGGACCACGAGCGUAGCAAGACGAGAGUCAAUCGCAUCGAUUUGGUUUCCGACGGAGGUCCGCCUUGUGACUGCACUUUCGAGUGUAGUUGAAAAACUUCUCAAGUUUGGCCUCGGAUCAGGC
rnacentral:rRNA from 1 species